UACGGGGGGGGCAAGCGUUGUUCGGAAUUACUGGGCGUAAAGGGCUCGUAGGCGGCCAACUAAGUCGGAUGUGAAAUCCCCAGGCUUAACCUGGGAACUGCAUCCGAUACUGGAUGGCUUGAAUCCGGGAGAGGGAUGCAGAAUUCCAGGUGUAGCGGUGAAAUGCGUAGAUAUCUGGAGGAACACCGGUGGCGAAGGCGGCAUCCUGGACCAACACUGACACUGAUGAGCGAAAGCCAGGGGAGCAAACGGG
rnacentral:rRNA from 1 species